GACGAACGCUGGCGGCGUGCCUAAUACAUGCAAGUAGAACGCUGAAGGAGGAGCUUGCUUCUCUGGAUGAGUUGCGAACGGGUGAGUAACGCGUAGGUAACCUGCCUGGUAGCGGGGGAUAACUAUUGGAAACGAUAGCUAAUACCGCAUAACAGUAGAUAUCGCAUGAUAUCUACUUGAAAGGUGCAAUUGCAUCACUACCAGAUGGACCUGCGUUGUAUUAGCUAGUUGGUGAGGUAACGGCUCACCAAGGCGACGAUACAUAGCCGACCUGAGAGGGUGAUCGGCCACACUGGGACUGAGACACGGCCCAGACUCCCACGGGAGGCAGCAGUAGGGAAUCUUCGGCAAUGGACGGAAGUCUGACCGAGCAACGCCGCGUGAGUGAAGAAGGUUUUCGGAUCGUAAAGCUCUGUUGUAAGAGAAGAACGAGUGUGAGAGUGGAAAGUUCACACUGUGACGGUAUCUUACCAGAAAGGGACGGCUAACUACGUG
rnacentral:rRNA from 1 species